CAAGCCCCAUCAGCUAGCCCAACCACCCAAAAUCAACCACCCCUUAUCUCUACCCCCAAAAACACAAACUUUUUUAAAUAAAACAUUCUCCCGCCCUAGUAUAGGCGAUAAAAAAGGAACCCGGCGCCAUAGAACCAGUACCGCAAGGGAAAGAUGAAAGAGAAAUGAAAUAACCCAGUAAAGGCCAACAAAGCAGAGCUUAACCCUCGUACCUUUUGCAUCAUGACUUAGCUAGCACCCUCCAAGCAAAAUGACAUUUAAGUUUGGCACCCCGAAACUACGUGAGCUACUUCAAGACAGCUUAAUGAGCAAACCCGUCUCUGUGGCAAAAGAGUGGGAAGAUCUUCAAGUAGAGGUGACAGACCUACCGAACCUAGUUAUAGCUGGUUGUCUAUGAAAAGAAUACAAGUUCCGCCUUUGAUCUUCUUUUUUCCCCUUAAGACUAGCCCCAAAGAGAUAAAAAGAAAACCAAAGAGUAAUUUAAAGGGGGGACAGCCCCUUUAAACAGAGAAACAACUCUUCCUGCUGACUAAGGACCAUAAACCUCAAGAUAACUAUAUUAUGGUGGGCCUAAAAGCAGCCACCCAUAACGAAAGCGUUAAAGCUCAAAUAUUAUACUUCUCUACGAUUAUGGCACUCAAAUCCUAAGCCCCAACAAAUAAUAGACCUUUUUAUGCAUCCAUAAAAGUGAUACUGCUAAAAUGAGUAAUAAGAAGGCCCAGACCUUCUCCCCGCCCCUGCAUAAAUCAGAACGAACUAGCACUGAACACUAACGCGCCCAACAAAAAGAGGGAAAAGAAACAAGCAAAGUACACAAGAAAAACAUUCAAUAAUACAGCGUUAACCCCACACAGGAGGGCCAAAAGGGAAAGACCUAAAAGAAAAGAAGGAACUCGGCAAACACAAGCCUCGCCUGUUUACCAAAAACAUCGCCUCUUGCACCCCCAUCAUAAGAGGUCCCGCCUGCCCUGUGACCCUAAAAAGUUUAACGGCCGCGGUAUUUUGACCGUGCGAAGGUAGCGUAAUCACUUGUCUUUUAAAUGAAGACCUGUAUGAAUGGCAUCACGAGGGCCUAGCUGUCUCCUUUCCUUAGUCAAUGAAAUUGAUCUCCCCGUGCAGAAGCGGGGAUAAAACCAUAAGACGAGAAGACCCCAUGGAGCUUAAGACCUAAGCAGCCCACACUAAGCCUCCUCAAAAAAAGGAAAGCAAAAAAAUGGUUACCUGCCCCAAGUCUUUGGUUGGGGCGACCGCGGAGGAGCACAAAUCCCCCACGUGGAACGGGAAAACCUCCCUAAAACAUGAGUGACAACUCUAAUUUUCAGAACUUCUGGCCAACAAGAUCCGGCAACGCCGAUCAACGGACCAAGUUACCCUGGGGAUAACAGCGCAAUCCUCUCCCAGAGUUCUUAUCGACGAGGGGGUUUACGACCUCGAUGUUGGAUCAGGACAUCCUAAUGGUGCAGCCGCUAUUAAGGGUUC
rnacentral:rRNA from 1 species